rnacentral:rRNA from 1 species
UACGUAGGUGGCAAGCGUUAUCCGGAAUUAUUGGGCGUAAAGCGCGCGCAGGUGGUUUCUUAAGUCUGACGUGAAAGCCCACGGCUCAACCGUGGAGGGUCAUUGGAAACUGGGAGACUUGAGUGCAGAAGAGGAAAGUGGAAUUCCAUGUGUAGCGGUGAAAUGCGUAGAGAUAUGGAGGAACACCAGUGGCGAAGGCGACUUUCUGGUCUGUAACUGACACUGAGGCGCGAAAGCGUGGGGAGCAAACAGG